rnacentral:rRNA from 1 species
CGGACGGGUGAGUAAUGUAUGGGGAUCUGCCUGAUGGCGGGGGAUAACUACUGGAAACGGUAGCUAAUACCGCAUAAUGUCCGCGGACCAAAGCGGGGGACCUCCGGGCCUCGCGCCAUCAGAUGAACCCAUAUGGGAUUAGCUUGUAGGUAAGGUAACGGCUUACCUAGGCGACGAUCCCUAGCUGGUCUGAGAGGAUGAUCAGCCACACUGGGACUGAGACACGGCCCAG